GGGGGGGGUAAGCGUUGUUCGGAAUUACUGGGCGUAAGGGGCUCGUAGGCGGCCAACUAAGUCAUACGUGAAAUCCCUCAGCUUAACUGGGGAACUGCGUGUGAUACUGGAUGGCUUGGAUUUGGGAGAGGGAUGCGGAAUUCCAGGUGUAGCGGUGAAAUGCGUAGAUAUCUGGAGGAACACCGGUGGCGAAGGCGGCAUCCUGGACCAAUAUUGACGCUGAGGAGCGAAAGCCAGGGGAGCAAACGGGAUUAGAUACCCCGGUAGUCCUGGCCCUAAACGAUGAAUGCUUGGUGUAGCGGGUAUCGAUCCCUGCUGUGCCGAAGCUAACGCAUUAAGCAUUCCGCCUGGGGAGUACGGUCGCAAGGCUG
rnacentral:rRNA from 1 species